rnacentral:piRNA from 1 species
UGCCAUGGCAAUGAAUGCUCCGAAGCCA